AUUGAACGCUGGCGGCAUGCCUUACACAUGCAAGUCGAACGGUAACAGGUCUUCGGAUGCUGACGGGUGGCGAACGGGUGAGUAAUACAUCGGAACGUGCCUAGUAGUGGGGGAUAACUACUCGAAAGAGUGGCUAAUACCGCAUGAGAUCUACGGAUGAAAGCAGGGGAUCGCAAGACCUUGUGCUACUAGAGCGGCCGAUGGCAGAUUAGGUAGUUGGUGGGAUAAAAGCUUACCAAGCCGACGAUCUGUAGCUGGUCUGAGAGGACGAUCAGCCACACUGGGACUGGGACACGGCCCAGACUCCUACGGGAGGCAGCAGUGGGGAAUGUUGGACAAUGGGCGCAAGCCUGAUCCAGCAAUGCCGCGUGCAGGAUGAAGGCCUUCGGGUUGUAAACUGCUUUUGUACGGAACGAAAAGCCCUGGGUUAAUACCCUGGGGUCAUGACGGUACCGUAAGAAUAAGCACCGGCUAACUACGUGCCAGCAGCCGCCGCCGUAA
rnacentral:rRNA from 1 species